AAACAAACCACUAUUCCCUUCGUUCUCCCUCGCCUUCGAUUUCUUGCUGCAGUGAAGCCCUUUUGAACUCUUACCAGCAUCCAGAAGUGGCUUAAACAGAUACAGUUGACUUCCCAGUAUAUCUGAACUAACCAAAUACCAGAAUAUUUGUGUGCUGUCCCGUUUGACACAAACAAGUUAUAUGCAUCAUGGCAACUGAUUCGAUGGAGAUUGACGAUGGUUUAUACAGUCGGCAGAGGUAUGUUCUUGGAGACACAGCAAUGCAGAAGAUGGCCCAGUCCCAUGUGUUCCUGAGUGGUAUGGGUGGGCUUGGCGUGGAGAUUGCUAAGAACAUAGUUCUGGCUGGAAUAAAGGCUCUUACGCUUCAUGAUACCAAGCAGUGCAAGACAUGGGAUUUGGGAACCAACUUUUUCAUCUGUGAAGAUGAUGUUACAAAUCUAAGGAACAGAGCUGAAGCUACAUUUCCUCACGUCGCAGAGCUCAACCCGUACGUCCAUGUUUUAUCAUCGACUGCACCACUUGAUGAAACAACAGACAUCUCCUUUCUAAAACACUAUCAGUGUGUCAUACUGACUGAAACAAGGCUGUCGCUGCAGAAGAAGAUUAAUGAUUUUUGUCACGCUCAACACCCCCCUAUUAAGUUUAUCAGUGCAGACGUGUAUGGCAUAUGGUCACGUUUGUUUUGUGACUUUGGUGAUGAAUUUGAAGUGCUGGAUACUACAGGAGAGGAGCCAAAGGAAAUCUUCAUUUCAAACAUAACACAAUCAAAUCCUGGGAUUGUCACUUGUCUUGAAAACCAUCCUCACAAGCUUGAAACGGGACAGUUCUUAACCUUUCGGGAAGUGAGCGGAAUGUCUUGUUUAAAUGGAUCUACACAACAACUAACAGUGGUGUCACCUUAUUCCUUCAGCAUUGGAGAUACUUCAGAUAUGGAACCUUACUUACACGGAGGCAUAGCUGUCCCAGUAAAGACACCCAAAAUAUUUUGCUUUGAACGGCUGGAGAAGCAGUUAACAAACCCAACCUACCUUCUUGCAGAUUUUAGCAAACCUGAGGCACCUUUGCAAACUCACACUGCCAUGCUUGCGCUGGACCAGUUCCAGGAAAACUUUGGUCGCAUGCCGAAUAUUGGAUGCCUUCAGGAUGCUGAGGAGAUGUUGAAAAUAGCAGUAUCCAUCAGUGAAACACUGGAAAGCAAACCUCAGGUGAAUGAAGACAUAGUGAAAUGGCUUUCUAGGACGGCUCAGGGAUUUCUAGCUCCCCUUGCUGCAACAGUCGGUGGGGUUGCUAGCCAAGAAGUCUUGAAAGCAGUAACAGGAAAAUUUUCUCCUUUGCAACAGUGGCUGUAUAUUGAUGCAUUAGACAUUGCUGUAUCUCUUGACAAGACCAGUUGCGAAGAAUUCCUCCCAAGGGGUGAUAAAUACGAUGCCUUGAGGAUUUGCAUUGGAGAGUCACUAUGCCAAAAGCUGCAUAAACUGAAUGUUUUCUUGGUUGGGUGUGGAGCAAUAGGCUGUGAAAUGUUAAAAAAUUUUGCACUUCUUGGUGUUGGCACUGCCCAAGACAAAGGCAUGGUCACAAUUACAGAUCCAGAUUUGAUAGAGAAAUCCAACUUGAACAGGCAGUUUCUUUUUCGACCCCGUCAUAUACAGAAACCUAAAAGCUAUACUGCAGCAACAGCAACACUGAACAUCAAUCCGCAGUUAAAGAUAGAUCCGUAUAUCAACAAAGUGUGUCCAGCCACAGAGAACAUUUACAACGACGAAUUCUACACCAAGCAAGACCUAGUUGUGACAGCACUAGACAAUGUGGAAGCAAGGAGAUAUAUUGACAGUCGCUGUGUAGCAAACCUGCGUCCGCUCUUAGACUCGGGAACCAUGGGAACUAAAGGACACACAGAAACUAUUGUGCCUCAUCUGACAGAGUCCUAUAACAGUCACCGAGAUCCACCCGAAGAGGAAAUUCCUUUUUGCACUUUGAAAUCUUUUCCAGCUGCUAUUGAGCACACAAUACAGUGGGCAAGAGAUAAGUUUGAAAGUGCGUUCUCCCACAAGCCUUCGUUGUUUAACAAAUUUUGGCAAACCUACCCAUCUGCAGAAGAAGUCUUACAGAGAAUAAAAUCAGGAGAGAGUUUAGAAGGCUGUUUUCAAGCUAUUAAGUCACUGAGCAGAAGACCCCGAAAUUGGUCUCAGUGUGUGGAACUUGCAAGAAAAAAAUUUGAGAAGUAUUUUAAUCAUAAGGCUCUUCAGUUACUUCAUUCUUUUCCCCUGGAUACACGAUUAAAAGAUGGAAGUUUGUUUUGGCAAUCACCAAAGAGGCCACCUUGUCCGAUAACGUUUGAAUUCAGUGAUCCUCUACACCACAGUUUCAUAGUGAGUGGUGCCACACUCUUUGCACGAGUAUACUGUGUCCCGUUCACCGCAAAGGAUUUGUCUGAAGAAACUAUUUUGAAGAUAAUUUCAGAAGUAAACAUACAAGAGUUCAGGCCCUCAAACAAAGUUGUGCAGACAGAUGAAACUGCAAGGAAACCAGAGCACAUUCCAGUAAGCAGUGAGGAUGAGAGGAAUGCCAUUUUCCAGCUGGAAAACACCAUCUUAGCCAAUGAAGCUAUGAAAAAUGACUUGCAGAUGAAAGUGCUCUCCUUUGAAAAAGAUGAUGAUGCUAAUGGACACAUAGACUUCAUAACAGCCGCCUCCAAUCUGCGAGCCAAGAUGUACAAUAUCGAACCAGCGGAUCGGCUCAAAACCAAGCGCAUCGCUGGAAAGAUCAUCCCUGCGAUUGCAACGGCUACUGCUGCUGUGUCUGGCUUGGUUGCCCUGGAAUUGAUCAAAGUCGUGGGUUCACAUCCAUUUGAAGCAUAUAAGAACUGCUUUUUAAAUCUAGCCAUUCCGAUAAUGGUGUUCACAGAAGCCGCUGGAGUAAGAAGAACAGAAAUAAGAAAUGGAAUAUCGUUUACAAUCUGGGACCGGUGGACUAUUUAUGGGAAAGAAGAUUUCACUCUGCUGGACUUCAUAAACGCUGUCAGAGAGAAAUACGGAAUAGAGCCAACAAUGGUGGUCCAAGGUGUCAAAAUGCUGUAUGUUCCUGUGAUGCCCGGUCACAUCAAAAGAUUAAAGUUGACGAUGCAAAAGCUUGUCAAACCCUCAGCUGAUAAAAAAUAUGUGGAUCUCACAGUGUCAUUCGCUCCAGAAACAGAUGGAGAUGAAGACUUACCAGGGCCUCCAGUGAGAUACUACUUCAUCCAUGAAGACAAUUGAUGCACUUCGUUCAGCCUAAUAAGCUGUCCAGGGAGCAGUGAUAUACACGCUGGAACUGCCAACUGAUAAGCAACAAAAAUUAAAGUCGCAAAAGAAAUGGAAGAGGCAGGACAACUUUGGUGGGUAUUCGUCACUGUGGCGAACCCAAACACCUCCACCACUGAACUAAUAAAAGGAAAGCCCACGCACGGAAGGAGUGAAGCACCGAGGAUCCGAAUGCAAUCCAUAGCCUCCCUGCCAUCUAAAGAGCUCAGAGUUAACCACAUUCCCAGAUUGCUCAGUGAUUAUGUGCUAGAUUCAGCAUUGGUGUGUCCAGGUAUCCCAUGUGAAGGGACGCUUUAUCUACUUCCCCUUUCACUGACCGGAGGCUAUAAAUCAACAACCAGCCCUGGUAAGGAAUACUGCUUAUCGUUAUAAAUCUUCCCUGUAAUGAACAUGCUAGUUAGUGAUGGGAAAGGUUGCAAGACAAUUAUAAUUAAACACCCUCCUCUCUUGUCUGAGGCAGCAGGAGAGAGGUAUAUUAUGGGCAAGACCUUUCAUUUUGGGGUUUUAUGUGGACAGGCGGACAGUAAAAAGCAACAAACAGAAAAAUACAAAUCUUGAUGGUAAAAACAGUUUCAAGCUGUGGUUUGUUUUGUGAACUGUCCAUUAACAGUAUGUAUACCGCCCCCUGCACAGAUGUGUAUCUGCUGCUACGUUGCCUCACUUUAACAGACAACCUCGCAUGUCCGCUUAUACUACUUUAUUCUUAACAUAAACAGAUCCACCUAUUGUAUUGGAUUUCUAAAAAA